UACGAAGGGAGCAAGCGUUGUCCGGAUUUAUUGGGCGUAAAGAGCGUGUAGGCGGCCAGACAGGUCCGUUGUGAAAACUGGAGGCUUAACCUCCAGACGUCGAUGGAAACCGUCUGGCUAGAGUCCGGAAGAGGAGAGUGGAAUUCCUGGUGUAGCGGUGAAAUGCGCAGAUAUCAGGAAGAACACCCGUGGCUAAGGCGGCUCCCUAGUACGGUACUGACGCUGAGACGCGAAAGCGUGGGGAGCGAACAGG
rnacentral:rRNA from 1 species